UUCAAAAAAUUACAUAAAUUAUUAAUGAAGUUACUAAAUUUUAUAGUUGAAUGCAUGUUGUAUUAUUGGUUGGAAGCACGAGAACAAAAUUGCCAGUUGUGGAAGUGGCAUUACAUUAUCAAUAAUGACAUUAUAUAUACACUCUAAUUUAUUCAAUAUUGAUUAAUUUGUGACUUUCUUUUUGUUGAUUGAAAACCCUACUCUAAACUUUGUUCCUGUGGCAUUUGUUUUUACUAUAUAUGUUACUGAAAAUUUCACCAAAUCGUGGGUGUUAUAUCUUUUCAAUCUCAGUGUUUGGCACACCCACAAAAGUCUCUAUACAAUGGAGGAAUUAUCCAAAAACCAGAACUGGAUAAUGGACUUCAAGGGUGAACUGCAUUUGGGGAGGCAAGAAUAGAAUAUAGAGAAUCAUUAGGCAACAAAUAUGUGGUAGCCCAUAGCAGAAAUCAAGCACAUGAUUGUGUCUCCCAGAAGAUUUACCUUGAAAAGGAUAAGCAUUAUAUUUUAUCCGCUUGGAUACAAGUGAGUGAGGGAAGCGACGUUCCUGUAACAGCAGUUGUGAAAAGAACUACAAGAUUAAAAUUUGCUGGUGCCAUUUUUGCUGAGUCUAAUUGUUGGUCUAUGCUUAAGGGUGGUCUCACAGUGGAAGAAUCAGGACCCGCUGAGCUCUAUUUUGAGGCUCCUUUCUAAAAGGAGAUUAUGCAAAUUAUCAGGAACCACAGAUCAAAAUGGAUUCUUUGAGGCCAAUCUUUUUCAUCGAGACUAUGAAAUGGAAAUCAGUCACCCUGCUAUGAAGAAUUACACCUGCAGUUUCAACUACAGAAGCUUAUCGAUAACUAUCGCUCUCAUAUCUCCCAGACAAUUACCAUUCCUUCAGACUCUCUUCUCAAUGAACUUCGAAUUGUUGAGGGAUUUAUGAGGUCCUUGAAUUGAGAGAUGGAGCAAUUUCUUGCCAUUCAUGACGUUUCUUGUCUCAACCGGAGCAGUUUCUCGCAAGGCUUUAUUUUCGGGUCAGCAUCCUCAGCAUAUCAGGUACAUUAUAUCAUAUUAAUUUCUCAAUCAAUUUUAACACCUUGUGUGAGCUGGAUCGAUAGUUAGUAGUUUAAGAUGUGAAUAUAUAACUAAGACCCCUUUCAUCUAUCGCUAGAUAAGAGCAAGUAACAAACUAAAUUUGGCAAGAGAAAGAAAUCGGAUAUAUACACUAUGGAUAAUAAAUGAGAUAGCUCAUUUAUGUGCCACUAAACGCCCAGAAGUAGACGCAAAUGGAUACAUCAUUGUUCUUUACGGUACAUUAGAUCCUAAUGGACCACCGUUGAUUUCUGAGUGCGAGAGAGAGGGAAAGAGAGAGUAGCUAGCUGUGGAAGAAGCAAACUUAUACUGAGAUCGAAGCCAAUGUAUAUCCAGAAAGAAGAUCUUGAUUUGUCUAGCUACUAGCUAGGCAUCGAAACAUGUACAACUGAAUGAAUGGAAAAUAUGGCAGUGCGUUUAUGCAUAAGGAGA